rnacentral:tRNA from 1 species
CGGGGUGUGGCGCAGGGGUAGCGUACAUGAUUUGGGAUCAUGGGGCCGGGAGUUCAAAUCUCCCCACUCCGACCA